rnacentral:rRNA from 1 species
AUUCCAGCUCCAAUAGCGUAUAUUAAUGUUGUUGCAGUUAAAAAGCUCGUAGUUGAAUUUCUGAGUUUAUGUUUUUAUGGUCCGAAUUCUUUGAAUUUGUGUAUCUAAUCUAUUAUAACUCAUCUUAAAAGUAAAUAUAACUGGUUUUCAUUAAUCGGUUAUAGGAGCUUUUUCGUUUACCGUGAAUAAAAUAGAGUGUUCAAAGCAGGCAUUACGCCUUGAAUACUUCAGCGUGGAAUAAAAAUAUAGGACUUUGGUGCUACUUUAUUGGUUUGCACACCUAAGUAAUGAUUAAUAGGGAUAGUUGGGGGUAUUCAUAUUUGAUUGUCAGAGGUGAAAUUCUUGGAUUUCUGAAAGAUGAACUUAUGCGAAAGCAUUUACCAAGGAUGUUUUCAUCA